GAGGACCUACGGGGCGUAGCAGUAGGGAAUCUUCCACAAUGGACGAAAGUCUGAUGGAGCAACGCCGCGUGAGUGAAGAAGGGUUUCGGCUCGUAAAGCUCUGUUGGUAGUGAAGAAAGAUAGAGGUAGUAACUGGCCUUUAUUUGACGGUAAUUACUUAGAAAGUCACGGCUAACUACGUGCCAGCAGCCGCGGUAAUACGUAGGUGGCAAGCGUUGUCCGGCUUUAUUGG
rnacentral:rRNA from 1 species